rnacentral:rRNA from 1 species
AUGGCCGACGGCAACGCCCCCGGCUCGCCGGCUUCUUCGCUCCAGAGCCACCGCUACGCCAUCAAAUCCUCAGUGCACAAUACGGCAGCUAGCCGGAGGCGUGAACAGGCUAUAGCAAUAGGGAAGGAAAGAAGGGAAGCCUUAAUGCGUGCAAAGCGUGUGUGCCGUGCCCCACUUUCUGGCAGCGAUGAGGCUACAAUUGAAGAUGGUGAUAUGGUUAUUGAUGAGAAAGCAGAUCUUGAAACAAGAACUGCUCAAGCUGUUGAAGAAUUGAAAUCAGCUUUGUCAAGCCAGGGAAAAGGGGCCCAGAAGAAGAAGAUAGAGGCACUUCGUGCAGUGAGACGCGUGUUGUCACAGUCUGAAGUACCUCCCAUUCAAGUAGCAAUUAAAGCUGGGGCAGUUCCUCUUUUAGUGCAAUAUCUGUCCUUUGGAUCUUCAGAUGAACAGUUGCUAGAGGCUGCUUGGUGCCUUACAAACAUAGCAGCUGGGGAGCCAGAAGAAACAAAAUCCGUGCUGCCCGCAUUACCAUUGCUUGUUGCUCACCUUGGUGAGAAGAGCUCCACACUUGUUGCUGAGCAAUGUGCAUGGGCCAUCGGUAAUGUUGCUGGUGAAGGAGCGGACCUGAGAAGCACAUUAAUUGCACAGGGUGCUUUGUGGCCUCUUGCCCGCCUAAUGCUAUCAAGCAAGGGUUCUACAGCAAGAACUGCUGCUUGGGCAUUGUCAAAUCUCAUCAAGGUUAUGAUCUCUUGCUUUGACUGUAUGAGUCUCAAGUUUCUUAUGCCAGAGUUCAACAGUUAUCUCUUUCCAAGUUCUUAUUAUGGAUUAGGAGUGCUUCGGCAAAAGCGUAAAGGGCCUGAUCCCAAGGCUGCGUAUGAGCUUAUUAACAUCGAUGGUGUGCUAAAUGCGAUCAUAAGGAACUUGGAAAAGGCGGACGAAGAGUUAGCAACUGAGGUGGCAUGGGUAGUGGUAUAUCUUUCAGCACUUCCAGAAAAAGCUAUCAGCUUAAUAGUACGAAGCCAUGUGCCUCAGUUGCUGAUUGGACGCCUGCUGGCAUCUGAGAACUUGCAGUUGCUCAUUCCGGUGCUUCGUGGUUUAGGGAAUCUUGUAGCCGGGGAUGAAUACAUGGUUGAUUCAAUCCUAAUUGUUGGAAACAGCAUCACAGAUCAAGCUUUAUCAAGUCUCAUAAAAUGUUUGAAGAGUGACAAUAGGGUUCUCAGAAAGGAGGCUUCAUGGGCAUUGUCAAAUAUAGCAGCAGGCAGCUUUGAGCACAAGAAAUUGAUUUUUACCAGUGAGGCGACGCCUUCGCUAAUACACCUCCUGACGAGUGCACAGUUUGACAUUCGCAAGGAAGCAGCUUACACCCUGGGCAAUCUGUGUGUUGUCCCAGCAGGAAGUACUGAGCCCCCGAACAUAAUCACCGAACAUCUAGUCUCGAUCAUAAAUGGUGGAGCCCUUCCAGGAUUCAUAAAUUUGGUCAGAUCUGCUGAUAUAGAGAGCGCAAGACUCGGACUUCAGUUCCUGGAACUGGUGAUGAGGGGGUAUCCCAAUGGACAGGGUCCCCAGCUUGUGGAGAGGGGGGACGGCAUCGAGGCCAUGGAGAGGUUCCAGUUCCACGAGAACGAGGCGAUGAGGAACAUGGCCAAUGGGCUGGUCGACAAAUACUUCGGCGAGGAUUACGGCCUCGAGUGA